rnacentral:rRNA from 1 species
AGGGGGGACGGAGAAGGCUAUGUUGGCCGGGCGACGGUUGUCCCGGUUUAAGCGUGUAGGUGUGUGUUCCAGGUAAAUCCGGUUCACUUUAACACUGAGGCGUGACGACGAGGCACUACGGUGCUGAAGCAACAAAUGCCCUGCUUCCAGGAAAAGCCUCUAAGCAUCAGGUAACAUCAAAUCGUACCCCAAACCGACACAGGUGGUCAGGUAGAGAAUACCAAGGCGCUUGAGAGAACUCGGGUGAAGGAACUAGGCAAAAUGGUGCCGUAACUUCGGGAGAAGGCACGCUGACACGUAGGUGAAGUGAUUUACUCAUGGAGCUGAAGUCAGUCGAAGAUACCAGCUGGCUGCAACUGUUUAUUAAAAACACAGCACUGUGCAAACACGAAAGUGGACGUAUACGGUGUGACGCCUGCCCGGUGCCGGAAGGUUAAUUGAUGGGGUCAGCGCAAGCGAAGCUCCUGAUCGAAGCCCCGGUAAACGGCGGCCGUAACUAUAACGGUCCUAAGGUAGCGAAAUUCCUUGUCGGGUAAGUUCCGACCUGCACGAAUGGCGUAAUGAUGGCCAGGCUGUCUCCACCCGAGACUCAGUGAAAUUGAACUCGCUGUGAAGAUGCAGUGUACCCGCGGCAAGACGGAAAGACCCCGUGAACCUUUACUAUAGCUUGACACUGAACAUUGAGCCUUGAUGUGUAGGAUAGGUGGGAGGCUUUGAAGUGUGGACGCCAGUCUGCAUGGAGCCGACCUUGAAAUACCACCCUUUAAUGUUUGAUGUUCUAACGUGGACCCGUAAUCCGGGUUGCGGACAGUGUCUGGUGGGUAGUUUGACUGGGGCGGUCUCCUCCUAAAGAGUAACGGAGGAGCACGAAGGUUGGCUAAUCCUGGUCGGACAUCAGGAGGUUAGUGCAAUGGCAUAAGCCAGCUUGACUGCGAGCGUGACGGCGCGAGCAGGUGCGAAAGCAGGUCAUAGUGAUCCGGUGGUUCUGAAUGGAAGGGCCAUCGCUCAACGGAUAAAAGGUACUCCGGGGAUAACAGGCUGAUACCGCCCAAGAGUUCAUAUCGACGGCGGUGUUUGGCACCUCGAUGUCGGCUCAUCACAUCCUGGGGCUGAAGUAGGUCCCAAGGGUAUGGCUGUUCGCCAUUUAAAGUGGUACGCGAGCUGGGUUUAGAACGUCGUGAGACAGUUCGGUCCCUAUCUGCCGUGGGCGCUGGAGAACUGAGGGGGGCUGCUCCUAGUACGAGAGGACCGGAGUGGACGCAUCACUGGUGUUCGGGUUGUCAUGCCAAUGGCACUGCCCGGUAGCUAAAUGCGGAAGAGAUAAGUGCUGAAAGCAUCUAAGCACGAAACUUGCCCCGA